rnacentral:rRNA from 1 species
UACGUAGGGUGCGAGCGUUGUCCGGAAUUACUGGGCGUAAAGAGCUCGUAGGUGGUUUGUCGCGUUGUCCGUGAAAACUCACAACUCAAUUGUGGGCGUGCGGGCGAUACGGGCAGACUGGAGUACUGCAGGGGAGACUGGAAUUCCUGGUGUAGCGGUGGAAUGCGCAGAUAUCAGGAGGAACACCAGUGGCGAAGGCGGUGAUCUGGGCCGAUACUGACGCUGUAGAGCGAAAGCGUGGGGAGCGAACAGG